UACAGCCACAUCAUGUUGAAUCACCAGUUCCUGUAUGAUCACCAAAGUUAAGGUACAUUGAAUCUGGUCAGUACCUAGAUGGGUGACCGCUUGAGAAUAGCAGGUGCUGUAAG